AGGAUGAACGCUGGCGGCGUGCUUAACACAUGCAAGUCGAACGGUGAAGUGAGGAGCUUGCUCCUUGCGGAUCAGUGGCGAACGGGUGAGUAACACGUGAGUAACCUGCCCUUGACUCUGGGAUAAGCGUUGGAAACGACGUCUAAUACCGGAUACGACCUCCGAAGGCAUCUUGUGGAGGUGGAAAGAAUUUCGGUCAAGGAUGGACUCGCGGCCUAUCAGCUAGUUGGUGAGGUAAUGGCCCCACCAAGGCGACGACGGGUAGCCGGCCUGAGAGGGUGACCGGCCACACUGGGACUGAGACACGGCCCAGACUCCUACGGGAGGCAGCAAUGGGGAAUAUUGCACAAUGGGCGCAAGCCUGAUGCAGCAACGCCGCGUGAGGGACGACGGCCUUCGGGUUGUAACCUCUUUUAGUAGGGAAGAAGCGAAAGUGGACGUACCUGCAAGAAAAGCACCGGCUAACUACGUGCCAGCAGCCGCGGU
rnacentral:rRNA from 1 species